UAUCAUCCUUGGACACUGUAACCUAUAAGGAAAAAAUAACUAUGCAUCAAGAUAAAUAGCUCCGUAUCAAUAAGAUUUGCAACCAAAACCUGUCUCAUUUCACAUUUUCAAUGCUUGCAGUACACUAUCAGGUGUAAACAACAUCAUAGACACAUGGCUAAGCCGCCACAAUCUUAAAAAUUAAACUUUGAUCUUACCUUUUUGCAACUGCCAA
rnacentral:misc_RNA from 1 species